CAUUUAAAGAGUGCGUAACAGCUCACUAGUCGAGAAAACCUGCGCCGAAAAUUUAACGGGGCUAAAACACGACACCGAAGCUACGGAUUUCCUACUAGGUAGGAAGUGGUAGAGGAGCAUCCUGCAAGGACGAAGCCAAAGUGAGAACGAUGGUGGACGAAACAGGAGAGAGAAUGCCGGAAUGAGUAGCGAGAUAGAAGUAAGAAACUUCUAGGCCGAAUAUCUAAGGUUUCCUGGGUAAAGCUAAUCUUCCCAGGGUUAGUCGGGGCCUAAGGCGAGGACGAAAGUCGUAGUCGAUGGAUAACAGGUUGAUAUUCCUGUACUACGUAUCAUCAGAACUGUGGGGACGCAGGAGGAUAGGAAAACCGGGGAAUGGAAAAACCCGGCCAAGUACAAAGUCAAGGGAGAUAGGCAAAUCCGUCUCUUGAUGAUCCGAAGAUGCGAUGGGGACUGAACAAAAGUAGGGAAGUUUCCGAAUCCACACUGUCGAGAAAAGCCGCUAUUGUGUGAUACGUACCCGUACCGUAAACCGACACAGGUAGAUGAGGAGAAAAUCCACAGGCCGACGGGAGAAGUGUUGUUAAGGAACUCGGCAAAAUGACCCCGUAACUUAGGGAGAAGGGGAGCCACGCAAGUGGCCGCAGAAAAGAGGCUCAAGCGACUGUUUAGCAAAAACACAGGUCUCUGCGAAACCGAAAGGUGAAGUAUAGGGGCUGACACCUGCCCGGUGCUGGAAGGUUAAAAGGAGAGGUUCGACGUAAGUCAAAGCUUUGAAUUCAAGCCCCAGUAAACGGCGGCCGUAACUAUAACGGUCCUAAGGUAGCGAAAUUCCUUGUCAGGUAAGUUCUGACCCGCACGAAAGGUGUAACGAUUUGAGCACUGUCUCGACAACACGCCCGGUGAAAUUGAAGAACCAGUGAAGAUACUGGUUACCCGCAACAGGACGGAAAGACCCCAUGGAGCUUUACUGCAGCCUGAUACUGGGAUUCGAUGAUAUAUGUACAGGAUAGGAGGGAGACUAGGAAUCCGGGACGCCAGUUUCGGAGGAGUCGACGGUGGGAUACCUCUCUUAUGUUAUUGGAUUUCUAACUUGGCACCGUGAUCCGGUGUGAGGACAAUGUCAGGCGGGCAGUUUGACUGGGGCG
rnacentral:rRNA from 1 species